rnacentral:rRNA from 1 species
ACAUAUACAGGAAUAGUUGUAGAGAUACAGCAGCCGCUUGCGGUCUGUAUACAGGUGCUGCAUGGCUGUCGUCAGCUCGUGCUGUGAAGUGUGGGUUAAGUCCCGCAACGAGCGCAACCCCUAUCAUCUGUUGCCAGCAUUUAAGGUGGGGACUCAGAUGAGACUGCCGGUGACAAACCGGAGGAAGUGGGGACGACGUCAAGUCAUCAUGGCCCUUAUGUCCUGGGCUACACACGUGCUACAAUGGCCGGUACAGAGUGAAGCGAAACCGCGAGGUGAAGCAAAACGCAGAAAGCCGGUCUCAGUACGGAUUGGAGUCUGAAACUCGACUUCAUGAAGUUGGAAUCGCUAGUAAUCGCGCAUCAGCAUGGCGCGGUGAAUACGUUCCCGGGCCUU